rnacentral:rRNA from 1 species
UACGUAGGGGGCGAGCGUUGUCCGGAAUUACUGGGCGUAAAGGGUACGUAGGCGGCUAGGUAAGUCAGAUGUGAAAUCCAUGGGCUCAACCCAUGUAAGCAUUUGAAACUGCUUAGCUUGAGUUAAGGAGAGGAAAGUGGAAUUCCUGGUGUAGCGGUGAAAUGCGUAGAUAUCAGGAGGAAUACCAGUGGCGAAGGCGACUUUCUGGCCUUAAACUGACGCUGAGGUACGAAAGCGUGGGGAGCAAACAGG